rnacentral:misc_RNA from 1 species
GAGUUCAUGCCCGAAAGGGUAGACCUCCCACCCUUGUGUAUUAUUACUUUGUUGCUUUGGCGAGCUGCCUUCGGGCCUUGUAUGCUCGCCAGAGAAAACCAAAACUCUUUUUAUUAAUGUCGUCUGAGUAUAAAAUUUUAAUUAAAUUAAAACUUUCAACAACGGAUCUCUUGGUUCU